rnacentral:rRNA from 1 species
UACGGGGGGGGCAAGCGUUGUUCGGAAUUACUGGGCGUAAAGGGCUCGUAGGCGGCCAACUAAGUCAGACGUGAAAUCCCUCGGCUUAACCGGGGAACUGCGUCUGAUACUGGAUGGCUUGAGUGUGGGAGAGGGAUGCGGAAUUCCGGGUGUAGCGGUGAAAUGCGUAGAUAUCCGGAGGAACACCGGUGGCGAAGGCGGCUUCCUGGACCGAUACUGACGCUGAGGCGCGAAAGCUAGGGGAGCAAACGGG